rnacentral:rRNA from 1 species
AACUAGGAUUAGAUACCCUAUUAUUUAAAAAUUUUUAGUAUUACCUGAAAAUCAAAAAAUUAAAAGAAAUUGGCGGCUUUUUUAAAAUUUUAGAGGAGUUUAUUCUCUAAUGGAUUCAACACCUAAACCUUACUUAAUUUUGUAAUUAACAAUUUGUAUACCUCUAUAAUUCUAAUAAAAAAUUUUAUUUAAUAUUCUUAUCUAAGACCUAAAUUAAGUCAAGGUGCAGUAAAUUUUUAAGAAUGAAAUAAACUAUAUUAAUAUAAUAUUAAAUCAAAAUUAAUUAUGAAAUAAAAUUUAUCUAGAAAAAUUUAAAAGUAAAUUCUUAUUUAUACUAUUCAAUUGAAUCAUAAAUAGCAAGUGUACAUAUUGCCCGUCACUCUUUUUUACAAAAAGAUAAGUCGUAACAUAGUAA